rnacentral:rRNA from 1 species
GACGAACGCUGGCGGCGUGCUUAACACAUGCAAGUCGACCGGAGUGGCGAACGGGUGAGUAACACGUGGGGGAUCUGCCUUGCACUUCGGGAUAAGCUUGGGAAACUGGGUCUAAUACCGGAUAGUGCAAGAAGAGCUCGCGGCAUAUCCGCUUGUUGGUGUGGUAAUGGCAUACCAAGGCGUCGACGGGUAGCCGGCAUGAGAGGGGGGACGGCAACAUUGGGACUGAGAUACGGCCCAGACUCCUACGGGAGGCAGCAGUGGGGAAUAUUGCACAAUGGGCGGAAGCCUGAUGCAGCGACGCCGCGUGGGGGAUGAAGGCCUUCGGGUUGUAAACGCCUUGAGACAGGGACGCGUUACCUGUAUAAGAAGCACCGGCUAACUACGUGCCAGCAGCCGCGGUAAUUC